GGUUUGUGGCUCAGUGGUAAAGUGCUCGCCUAGCAUGCUUGAGGCACUGAGUACAAUCCUCAGCACCA
rnacentral:tRNA from 1 species